rnacentral:rRNA from 1 species
GACGAACGCUGGCGGCGUGCUUAACACAUGCAAGUCGAACGGAAAGGCCCUGCUUUUGUGGGGUGCUCGAGUGGCGAACGGGUGAGUAACACGUGAGUAACCUGCCCUUGACUUUGGGAUAACUUCAGGAAACUGGGGCUAAUACCGGAUAGGAGCUCCUGCUGCAUGGUGGGGGUUGGAAAGUUUCGGCGGUUGGGGAUGGACUCGCGGCUUAUCAGCUUGCUGGUGGGGUAGUGGCUUACCAAGGCUUUGACGGGUAGCCGGCCUGAGAGGGUGACCGGCCACAUUGGGACUGAGAUACGGCCCAGACUCCUACGGGAGGCAGCAGUGGGGAAUAUUGCACAAUGGGCGGAAGCCUGAUGCAGCAACGCCGCGUGCGGGAUGACGGCCUUCGGGUUGUAAACCGCUUUCGCCUGUGACGAAGCGUGAGUGACGGUAAUGGGUAAAGAAGCACCGGCUAACUACGUGCCAGCAGCCGCGGUGAUACGUAGGGUGCGAGCGUUGUCCGGAUUUAUUGGGCGUAAAGGGCUCGUAGGUGGUUGAUCGCGUCGGAAGUGUAAUCUUGGGGCUUAACCCUGAGCGUGCUUUCGAUACGGGUUGACUUGAGGAAGGUAGGGGAGAAUGGAAUUCCUGGUGGAGCGGUGGAAUGCGCAGAUAUCAGGAGGAACACCAGUGGCGAAGGCGGUUCUCUGGGCCUUUCCUGACGCUGAGGAGCGAAAGCGUGGGGAGCGAACAGGCUUAGAUACCCUGGUAGUCCACGCUGUAAACGGUGGGUACUAGGUGUGGGGUCCAUUCCACGGGUUCCGUGCCGUAGCUAACGCUUUAAGUACCCCGCCUGGGGAGUACGGCCGCAAGGCUAAAACUCAAAGGAAUUGACGGGGCCCCGCACAAGCGGCGGAGCAUGCGGAUUAAUUCGAUGCAACGCGUAGAACCUUACCUGGGUUUGACAUGGAUCGGGAGCGCUCAGAGAUGGGUGUGCCUCUUUUGGGGUCGGUUCACAGGUGGUGCAUGGCUGUCGUCAGCUCGUGUCGUGAGAUGCUGGGUUAAGUCCCGCAACGAGCGCAACCCUUGUUCACUGUUGCCAGCACGUUAUGGUGGGGACUCAGUGGAGACCGCCGGGGUCAACUCGGAGGAAGGUGGGGAUGACGUCAAGUCAUCAUGCCCCUUAUGUCCAGGGCUUCACGCAUGCUACAAUGGCUGGUACAGAGAGUGGCGAGCCUGUGAGGGUGAGCGAAUCUCGGAAAGCCGGUCUCAGUUCGGAUUGGGGUCUGCAACUCGACCUCAUGAAGUCGGAGUCGCUAGUAAUCGCAGAUCAGCAACGCUGCGGUGAAUACGUUCCCGGG